UUUAGCCACUUGGGAGAAUGAGAACAAGAUCCACUGCACGCAAACUCUGCUCGAGGGGGACGGCCCGAAAACCUACUGGACCCGCGAGCUGGCCAACGACGAGCUCAUCCUGACGUUUGGCGCCGACGACGUGGUCUGCACGAGGAUUUACGUUCGGGAGUGAAGGUGGCCGGCUUCCCGCUGCUUUGGGGGUGGGGUGCAUGUUUCCCGAGAAAUGUCAUAGGUCUGAGCUGCCAGUGGACCUUCCCUUACCCCGUAUCAACGUUAGGUGACCCCGUUUCCCCUGUGACAGUGUGGUAGCGUCCCCCCCCCCCGCCUCACCGAGGCCUCCGUGCCUCUGACUCCCUGGCGCUCUGUAGUUUGGCAUCACAUGGUUUGUCAGUCAUUAAACUGGUUGUCCACACUUCAAGA